rnacentral:rRNA from 1 species
AUUGAACGCUGGCGGCAUGCUUUACACAUGCAAGUCGAACGGUAACAGGGAGCUUGCUCCGCUGACGAGUGGCGAACGGGUGAGUAAUGCGUCGGAACGUGCCGAGUAGUGGGGGAUAACGCAUCGAAAGGUGUGCUAAUACCGCAUACGUACUGAGGUAGAAAGUGGGGGACCUUCGGGCCUCACGCUAUUCGAGCGGCCGACGUCUGAUUAGCUAGUUGGUGAGGUAAAGGCUCACCAAGGCGACGAUCAGUAGCGGGUCUGAGAGGAUGAUCCGCCACACUGGGACUGAGACACGGCCCAGACUCCUACGGGAGGCAGCAGUGGGGAAUUUUGGACAAUGGGCGCAAGCCUGAUCCAGCCAUGCCGCGUGUCUGAAGAAGGCCUUCGGGUUGUAAAGGACUUUUGUCCGGGAGCAAAUGCCUGGUGUUAAUAACGCUGGGGGCUGAGAGUACCGGAAGAAUAAGCACCGGCUAACUACGUGCCAGCCGCCGCCGCAGUAA